CCUACGGGUGGCAGCAGUGGGGAAUAUUGCACAAUGGGGGAAACCCUGAUGCAGCGACGCCGCGUGAGUGAAGAAGUAAUUCGUUAUGUAAAGCUCUAUCAGCAGGGAAGAAAAUGACGGUACCUGAGUAAGAAGCCCCGGCUAACUACGUGCCAGCAGCCGCGGUAAUACGUAGGGGGCAAGCGUUAUCCGGAUUUACUGGGUGUAAAGGGAGCGUAGACGGCAGUGCAAGUCUGGAGGGAAAGGCGGGGGCUCAACCCCCGGGACUGCCCUUGGAACUGCAUGGCUGGAGUGCGGGAGGGGCAGGAGGAAUGCGUGGUGUAGCGGUGAAAUGCGUAGAUAUCAGGAGGAACACCGGCGGCGAAGGCGGCCUGCUGGACCGCGACUGACGUUGAGGCUCGAAAGCGUGGGGAGCGAACAGGAUUAGAUACCCGUGUAGUC
rnacentral:rRNA from 1 species